rnacentral:lncRNA from 1 species
GGUUUUUCACUAAAUGAGUAAACAAAUGAGAGUAUAAUAUGGAGAAAAUAACCUAGAUGUACAACUUGUACAUUACUCAAAACCCCGACUAUAAAGCUCAAAAUCUCAAAGAGUAAACCGGUAAACAAAACCCUAAAUCUCAUAAAGUACUCACAAAAGGGGUAUAAAAUACGCUCCAUAAUUACCAUGAAAAACUCUCACAAAAACUCAUAUAUAUGUAACUAUAUCUUGUUGCUCUAAAAAAAAUCUUUGCUGAUUGGCCUAUCAAAACAUGGGUUUAAAUAGGCCAAAUUUAGAGUUCUAAUUAUACUUCAAAUAUUCAUAAAGUAAUCAGAGUUGAUGCAAUCCGGCUCAGUAGGUUGAGUCGAGUUGUCUUAAUUGUCCGAUCGUCGACGAGAAAGUAUCGCUCCAAAAUAAUGGUUGGUUUGUAAUCGGCUAAAUAUGAAGUAAAGUGAUGGAAAAAGGUUCAAAAAUAGGUUAAGUUUGAUAUGGAUAGGUUCGGCUAACAAUAAAAAUAUGAUAGAUAAUUUGAUGGAUAGAUGGAAUGGAAAUUCGGACUUAAGCGUCAAGAAUGAUCCAACACUAUAGAGAGUGUCGUCCCGAGACUUAUAUUGCUUAAGGUGAUUGAUGGAAAUAGAAAGAUGGACCUCGACCCGUUACUUAGAAAAGUAGGAAUCCAAGGUAUAAAAAGAUGGACGAACGCCACACCAAGAUUGGUGAUAAGUUUGGAAGGAGUUCGGUUGACGCCACUAGCACGCUAGAUAAGUCAAUUCGAGACUCACACGAAAUAUGAGAGGGAGAACCUCACAAGAACAAUAGUUCAUUAAUAAAUUUGGCAAAAGUCCUUUUACAAUGAAAAUAAACAACUAUUUAUAGCCUAUGCACUAGCUAGCCGAAUGGUCACCAAUAAGUCUUUAAAAACUAAGUAAAAUUCAGCUAGAAUAGGCUGGAAAAUUCCAGAAUAAAAACCAUUAAAAUCCUUAGCAAGAUUCGACUGAAUGGAGUCCAAAAGACAGCUUCUAGAAUGGGCAAAUGAACCUGGAAAGAUCAAUGGUGCAUGGCAGCAGCUAGGUUCGGCUAAUUGAGCUUAAAUGAGCUCAUUAAAAUGCAAUUCUUGGCUGCAAAGAUACCAGCAUUAAAGGAGGACGUGAACAGCCUUGAAAGUGUGAAAAGUCAGCUUCUAGAUUGAGCAAUAAUCUUGGAAAGAUGAAUCCUUGAGGGAGGCUAAUGGCCAU